ACAUUAGAAGAAGGUGAUUUUAAAUGUCUGUUUGCUGCAGCUGGGUUUUAUGUGGGGAGAAGACUGAGAUGCAGCCAUUAAACAGUCAGACCAGAUUUUUGAUAUAUGAAAUACAAACAUGAAACAGAAUUGAAAUGAAUGGCGUGAGUGUGAUAUUUCUAUGAAUUAGAAGAUUUUUUUCAUUUCAAGACACUAAAAAGAUUCAUUGUAAGAGAAAUGAAGCUGGAAGAGAAGUAUUUUAUUUUGGUAGCUCAAAUUUAGUGUCGAUGCUCACUCCACACCAGUAGGUAGCGGUAAGGCGCCAUUUUGUUUUUUGCCAAUCGCGGAGAAAAAAAUAAAAAACGAAGAAGAGGUGAGCUGUACGCAUCUAUCCGGACAUCUUCAGUGUUAAAAGACGAAAAUCAGAAAUAAAAAGUUAUAUUUGGACGGUAGAGAGGAGUUGAUUGACCUGGCUGAGCAAACCUCACAACAACAGCCAUGGGUUCCUCUAUUGAACUGAGUGAGGAUCUGAAACUGAAGCUGAUUGAUGCCUACAAAUCAGGGAAAGGCUAUAAGAAGAUAUCAAAGCGCUUUGGGUUCUCAGUUUCCACAAUCCGCAACGUCAUUAAGAAAUGGAAGAUAAGGGGAACUGUGGAAGUCAAGCCAAGAUCUGGACGACCAAGAAAGAUUUCAGAUAAAACCGCUCGUCUCCUCGGCAGAAAGGCAACGCAAAACCCCCACAUGACUGCGAAGGACCUGCAGGAGGGUUUAGCCGACACAGGAGUGAUGGUGCAUCCUUCCACUGUGCAGCGCUGCCUGAACAAACAGGGUCUACAUGGACGAGUCAGAAGGAAACCUGAGGCGGACACCUCAACAGACAAGUCGACAUCUGAAGUCAAAGAAACAUCUGGAUGAGACGAGAGUCGUGUUGGAAACGAGUGCUGCAGACAGAUGAAGUUUACCUUGAGCUGGAGACGUUAUAACUCAGAGGGAGCUUUGAUUGAGCUCCUUGGAGGACAUGACUGUACAUUCCUUGAUAUUAACCCCCUCAUGUUUAGACGUAAAACCUCCUAAGGUGGCUCCAUGAUCUGCUAACAACAGGAGCGGCCGAUCAUCAGGUAAAUCCUGAAGAAGACACACAGGAACACACAGGAAACACUGAUCCACAGCUCCAUCAAACCCCUCCAGUCCUGAGUCUGACUUGAUGCAACCAUUGAUGCAUUCAGGACCCACUUAACAUCAGUGCUGGGGUGAACAUUGAAUGUCUUGCAGGAGUGGAGACCAUAUUUAAAGCCCUGCUAAAUCAAAGGAUCCAUACAAAGAUGAUCAUGUAGUUACCUUUAACCGUCUGAAACAAAAUUCUCAUCUUACACAUUCUGAUUUGUGGAAACAUCUCCAGCUCCAGCGCUGCUGAGACCUGGUCCUGAUCCAGUCACUGAAAUCCAGACCCAGUCACAAUGUACCUGCUGGUAAAAAGGCAGUGUAUCAGUUGAGCUUAUCAGAGAAGCCAGUCCACUUAGACCUGACAAUCCUCAAGUGAUGUCAGAGAGACUGGGGAAAAUAUUGAAGAACAGCCGGCACCUGUCUGUCAGUGCAUGCUCAGAAUAUUUCUGAAUUAUAGUGAAUGUUUAUGUGUUCACUUCUGAUUGUAUGCUGCUGAUUUUUAUCUGUGUGAUUACUGUUCGUAUUGUUUAUUUAUUUAUGUUUGGGAGGUCAUGGAUAUUCCGGAGGUAAAAUGUUGUAAUAGAUUACUUAAUAAAUAAAAGGAUUGAGCUCUUUGGCCACAGUCAGUGAAGGUAUGUUGAAGGAAAAAAGGAGCAGCAUUUCGUGAAAAGAGCACUUUGCCAGCUGUUCAGCAGGGGGGUGGAAAUCUUCUGGGUUUGUGUGUCAGCCAGUUACACAGGAAACACUGCAGACAGAGGGGAGCAGUGGAUUCCACCAAAUAUCAGCAGACUGUAAACACAAAUGUCCUGCAGUCAGUCAGGACAGUGAAGAAACGAACCUGUACUGACAGUGGGUUUGCACAGCACAGAUUUUUUCCCUUAUGUUCUAAGUUUAUAAUAAAUAAGCAUCAGCAUUUUGAAGAAA